rnacentral:rRNA from 1 species
UACGGGGGGAGCAAGCGUUGUUCGGAUUUACUGGGCGUAAAGGGCGCGUAGGCGGCGCAACAAGUCACUUGUGAAAUCUCCGGGCUUAACCCGGAGCGGCCAAGUGAUACUGUCGUGCUAGAGUGCGGAAGGGGCUACUGGAAUUCUCGGUGUAGCGGUGAAAUGCGUAGAUAUCGGGAGGAACACCCAUGGCGAAGGCAGCAUACUGGUCGGCAUCUGACGCUGAGGCGCGAAAGCGUGGGUAGCAAACAGG